AUACCUUUCUCGGCCUUUUGGCUAAGAUCAAGUGUAGUAUCUGUUCUUAUCAGUUUAAUAUCUGAUAUGUGAACCAUUGGUUCACACGAUAUUAAAUUAAUUUUUUGAAGGGGAAGACUCGUUACAAUAGCUUGCUAUUGGGGUCUUCAAGUGUCGCCCAUGCGUUGCACUACUGCAAGGGCUUGGCGCACCCUCC
rnacentral:snRNA from 1 species